rnacentral:sRNA from 1 species
GAUGGAUUUCAAGUAAUCAAGCAAUCAAAGGUGGUGAGCAUUCUUGCUAAAGUAAAGAGAUAGUACCCGAGAAUCAAGAAUCGAAGUACUUGGAAUUUGACUCCCGAAAUAGCUCAGAAUAGGCUGUAGAUAGCUGAUUUCAUCGAGGC